rnacentral:rRNA from 1 species
GAUGAACGCUGCCAGAAUGCUUAACACAUGCAAGUCAACUUGAAUUUGGGUUUUUAACUUAGGUUUGGGUGGCGGACGGGUGAGUAACACGUAAAGAACUUGCCUCACAGCUAGGGACAACAUUUGGAAACGAAUGCUAAUACCUAAUAUUAUGAUAAUAGGGCAUCCUAUAAUUAUGAAAGCUAUAAGCGCUGUGAGAGAGCUUUGCGUCCCAUUAGCUAGUUGGAGAGGUAACGGCUCACCAAGGCGAUGAUGGGUAGCCGGCCUGAGAGGGUGAUCGGCCACAAGGGGACUGAGACACGGCCCUUACUCCUACGGGAGGCAGCAGUGGGGAAUAUUGGACAAUGGACCGAGAGUCUGAUCCAGCAAUUCUGUGUGCACGAUGAAGUUUUUCGGAAUGUAAAGUGCUUUCAGUUGGGAAGAAACAAAUGACGGUACCAACAGAAGAAGUGACGGCUAAAUACGUG